GACGAACGCUGGCGGCGUGCUUAACACAUGCAAGUCGAACGGAAAGGCCCUGCUUGCAGGGUGCUCGAGUGGCGAACGGGUGAGUAACACGUGGGUGAUCUGCCCCUUACUUUGGGAUAAGCCUGGGAAACUGGGUCUAAUACUGGAUAGGACCAUGCUGUAGGUGGUGUGGUGGAAAGAUUAGUUUCGGUAAGGGAUGAGCUCUCGGCCUAUCAGCUUGUUGGUGGGGUAAUGGCCUACCAAGGCGUCGACGGGUAGCCGGCCUGAGAGGGUGGACGGCCACAUUGGGACUGAGAUACGGCCCAGACUCCUACGGGAGGCAGCAGUGGGGAAUAUUGCACAAUGGGCGCAAGCCUGAUGCAGCGACGCCGCGUGGGGGAUGACGGCCUUCGGGUUGUAAACUCCUUUCAGCCAUGACGAAGCCCUUGUGGUGACGGUAGUGGUAGAAGAAGCACCGGCUAACUACGUG
rnacentral:rRNA from 1 species